CGUAGGGUCCGAGCGUUGUCCGGAAUUAUUGGGCGUAAAGGGCUCGUAGGCGGUUUGUCACGUCGGGAGUGAAAACUCAGGGCUCAACCCUGAGCGUGCUUCCGAUACGGGCAGACUAGAGGUAUGCAGGGGAGAACGGAAUUCCUGGUGUAGCGGUGGAAUGCGCAGAUAUCAGGAGGAACACCGGUGGCGAAGGCGGUUCUCUGGGCAUUACCUGACGCUGAGGAGCGAAAGCAUGGGGAGCGAACAGGAUUAGAUACCCUGGUAGUCCAUGCCGUAAACGUUGGGCGCUAGGUGUGGGGACCUUCCACGGUCUCCGUGCCGCAGCUAACGCAUUAAGCGCCCCGCCUGGGGAGUACGGCCGCAAGGCUA
rnacentral:rRNA from 1 species